rnacentral:lncRNA from 1 species
UAAGAACCCAGUCCCCUUUUUUUCCCUCCUCCACAAUUUUAAAGCAGAAGCCAAAAAAAACUUGAACCUCGCAUGAGGAGGACUCCCGAUGGAGUCCGCCUCCUCUCCCCGAGUUCGAUCCGGACAGGGAAUCUGGAGCUCACCAGAUCUCUAGUUUCCGGUUAUAACAAGUCAUCCCCUUUCUCUAAGCAACUCGCCUCCAAUCCUCGAUCAACACCGGCGAAAAUCCGAGGGAGAUUGUUCGAUUUCCCGUUGAGAUCUCUCGGU